UAACGGCGUCGAGCGGCGGACGGGUGAGUAAUGCCUAGGAAAUUGCCCUGAUGUGGGGGAUAACCAUUGGAAACGAUGGCUAAUACCGCAUGAUGCCUACGGGCCAAAGAGGGGGACCUUCGGGCCUCUCGCGUCAGGAUAUGCCUAGGUGGGAUUAGCUAGUUGGUGAGGUAAGGGCUCACCAAGGCGACGAUCCCUAGCUGGUCUGAGAGGAUGAUCAGCCACACUGGAACUGAGACACGGUCCAGACUCCUACGGGAGGCAGCAGUGGGGAAUAUUGCACAAUGGGCGCAAGCCUGAUGCAGCCAUGCCGCGUGUGUGAAGAAGGCCUUCGGGUUGUAAAGCACUUUCAGUCGUGAGGAAGGUAGUGUAGUUAAUAGCUGCAUUAUUUGACGUUAGCGACAGAAGAAGCACCGGCUAACUCCGUGCCAGCAGCCGCGGUAAUACGGAGGGUGCGAGCGUUAAUCGGAAUUACUGGGCGUAAAGCGCAUGCAGGUGGUUUGUUAAGUCAGAUGUGAAAGCCCGGGGCUCAACCUCGGAAUUGCAUUUGAAACUGGCAGACUAGAGUACUGUAGAGGGGGGUAGAAUUUCAGGUGUAGCGGUGAAAUGCGUAGAGAUCUGAAGGAAUACCGGUGGCGAAGGCGGCCCCCUGGACAGAUACUGACACUCAGAUGCGAAAGCGUGGGGAGCAAACAGGAUUAGAUACCCUGGUAGUCCACGCCGUAAACGAUGUCUACUUGGAGGUUGUGGCCUUGAGCCGUGGCUUUCGGAGCUAACGCGUUAAGUAGACCGCCUGGGGAGUACGGUCGCAAGAUUAAAACUCAAAUGAAUUGACGGGGGCCCGCACAAGCGGUGGAGCAUGUGGUUUAAUUCGAUGCAACGCGAAGAACCUUACCUACUCUUGACAUCCAGAGAACUUUCCAGAGAUGGAUUGGUGCCUUCGGGAACUCUGAGACAGGUGCUGCAUGGCUGUCGUCAGCUCGUGUUGUGAAAUGUUGGGUUAAGUCCCGCAACGAGCGCAACCCUUAUCCUUGUUUGCCAGCGAGUAAUGUCGGGAACUCCAGGGAGACUGCCGGUGAUAAACCGGAGGAAGGUGGGGACGACGUCAAGUCAUCAUGGCCCUUACGAGUAGGGCUACACACGUGCUACAAUGGCGCAUACAGAGGGCAGCCAACUUGCGAAAGUGAGCGAAUCCCAAAAAGUGCGUCGUAGUCCGGAUUGGAGUCUGCAACUCGACUCCAUGAAGUCGGAAUCGCUAGUAAUCGUGGAUCAGAAUGCCACGGUGAAUACGUUCCCGGGCCUUGUACACACCGCCCGUCACACCAUGGGAGUGGGC
rnacentral:rRNA from 1 species